UACGUAGGGGGCGAGCGUUGUCCGGAUUCAUUGGGCGUAAAGAGCUCGUAGGCGGCUUGGUUAGUUGGGUGUGAAACCUCCAGGCUUAACCUGGAGACGCCACUCAAUACUGCCAUGGCUAGAGUCCGGUAGGGGACCACGGAAUUCCUGGUGUAGCGGUGAAAUGCGCAGAUAUCAGGAGGAACACCGGUGGCGAAGGCGGUGGUCUGGGCCAGCACUGACGCUGAGGAGCGAAAGCGUGGGGAGCGAACAGG
rnacentral:rRNA from 1 species